rnacentral:misc_RNA from 1 species
UCGCUCGCAGGAAGUUGAUGAGUGAGACACACGCAAUUACGGAUCGGUAUACGUCAUGCAGCGCGGCUGAGUGCAACCUUCGGCAGGGGUUUGGGCGGCCAAGCCUACCAAGCGGGCGUGUUCAUUACCGGAGAGAGUGGCCUUGGCGUGGAUAGGCUUUUUUGCUCUCAUCCUGGUACUGAACUUGCUGUACGUGAAGUUCAUCAGACGCUAUUUUCCCAUACCUAAAGAUGACUC